rnacentral:lncRNA from 1 species
CUGUUGAUGUUGGGAGUAGAUAAAUGAGUGCGCAAAUGUAAGUUAUUGGAGUGGGGGAUGAGCUGUUCAAGAGGUGGAAAUGAAGAGGAGCGCAGGUGCAUGUGGUAGUCGUAGAAUCGCAUCAUGCCUUCCCAUGUGCACAGUUUGCCUUGCUGCUGCAUGAUGCCCUCCUCAAAUGUGCUUUUCUUGCCCAAGAAAUGCGUCUCUCACAUGCACCACGCCUUGGAUCUCUGUCUGUUUCUUCAUUCUUCUUCUUCUUCUUCUUCCAUUUCCGCUCUAUUCUCCCACUCAUCUCGGUGGGUUUCUUGGCAACUUCGGGCUAUCUUGUUGGCCAUCUACGGCUGUUCUCGGGAUUAACAGUGUUUUGCGCUGUCGUGGGAGAGUGGUUGUGGUGUGC